ensembl:lncRNA
AUGUGUGACAGCAUCUCCGCUCGCAGUCAUGCAACAGUAAAAAGGCUCAUCAGAGCUGUGAAUGUCAGAGUGUCUGUGACCGACGCUUUCUCUGACAGGAAUAGCCUCCAGCGUCCAGCUGCUCCGGACAGCGAUGCAUCUCUGUGCUUUGCUCCAGACGCUGCAGGGCUUUCUUGAGGAAGAUGCUGACCAGGAGAAGAUGCAGCUCUCUGCGGCUGCCUGGAGAAUGAGAGGCAGAUAUAGAUAGAGAUCAAUAACUGAUAUUCCUCCAGCAGGGGACGCUGUUGCCUUUAUCUCUCAGCAUUCUGCUUCAUAUUUAAUGCAUCUCGAGUUGAACACAUGAAUGUUUCAGAUGAAGGAAGUGUUUCACUGUCAUGUAUGCAGUCUGAGAGCUCUGAAACAUACGCUUUAAUCCUGGAAAUAAUAGUUCUGUGUUUUCUGUUUAUACUUAAAGAAAUGUUGGGAUGGGAAAAAUUAAUACACUGCUUAAACUUUAUUAUUUAAAUUGACUUAAUUUCCCAUAAAUGCAACUUUGUAUCUUACAAUGUGAUUAUUUUUUUCAUACUGGCAACUUUAUAACUUAUUAUGGCUCUUUGUAAUUGCAAUGUCAUGUUUUACAGUUUUACUUUAUUUCUCACAAUGUAUGUAUUUCUUUUUCUUUUUUUUUUGUAAUCACAGUUUUAUAUCUUAUGUGAUGAUUUUUAAAAUGUAACUUUGUUUAUUAUGUGAGUUUGUUUCAUAACUGCAACCUUAAUUCUCACAGUGUUAGAAUGUAUUAUAUUUAAGACUUUUUAUUUACACCUUAAAAUUUAAUUUGACAAUUUAAAUUUGAAUGGCUUUUUUUCUCUCUCUGAAAGCAGCAGUUAUUAGUGUUAUUAUCAGUUAUUACAGUAUGUCUGUGGAUACAGAACAGAAGAUAAUAUUUGAAUCUGCAAUCAGAUAUCUAUUUUACAUAUUGAUGUUUAAAACAUAAUGUUGUUUAAAUCUAAUAUUUUGUAUGUUUAAGGGAUGGUACUAAAUUAUAUUUAACCACUUUUCUAGACCUGAAAAUGAAAUGUUAACUUAAACUGUGGUAAAUCUGGGGUGCUCUGGGGCACAGACGUUAAGAUUUAAAAAGACACUAGACAGAUUAGUGCUGAAGUAAAAAAAAGAAAAAAAAAAUGUUAUGGGAGUUUAAGUUUAUUAUUAUUAAAAUGCAUAAAAAUACUUUUUAUUAAAUUGAUAUGAAAUCCAUAUUUUUCCUAAACUUGUUUUAUUCUAAAAGCAUAUGAAAAUCAAAGGCAUUCAUUUAAAGAAGUUGUGUUACAAAUAUGAGGUUGAUAUAAAAAAAUGACUGACACACAAGCCAAUAACAGCAUGUGCCAUAAAACAUUCCUAAUCUAUAUUCUUAAUCUGUAUCUCCAUUUUACUGCUCAAAAUUACAUUGAAAUGAAUCAAGACUACUUACCGAGGGUUUGCACUAUGAAAUAUUUUUAAUUAUUCUGGUUUCCAGGGAAAUAUCUAAAAUUACUGUUUCAAAUUUCAAAUGAAAUCAAGUAAUAUUGAUUUAAAAUAGUGCUUCUGAUUUAUGAACCUGAUUUGGGAAUGAUAAAUAUGUCUAGUAUUGUGCUUUUUUUUCAGCUGAUGUUCUGUAUUAUCUUUCUGACUUACUUACUUCUGAGAUUAUCUAUCUUCUGAGAUUGCUGUUAUAAUGAAAAUGCAAUCCAAAAGUGAAGUUUUGUGAAGACGGUGGCGUUCGGACAGAAGGCUGUGAUGUAUUAAUAUGGUUUACAGUGCUGAAUGUGACACACACACGUCUCAUCUCCUCCGUGUCUAAUACAGGACAUGUUCACUGGUCUUCAGCAGCAUCACUGUACUGAACCAGUCAGCUUUUCCUCUCAGAGAUGAUGAAUGGAGUAAUAGACAAAACAUUUACUUUCAUUUAUAAUACAUAAAUAACAUGACUUAACAAAUCUAUUAACAUCUCAUUAUUAUGAAAGCAAUUUUAAAGUCCAUUAAAUAACUAGCUUGACCAAGCUGGCAUGAGGAAAAAUUAUUAAGAUAAUUUAUUAUUAAUUUAUUAAACCAUGUGAUUACAGCAAAAAAAACAAAAAAACAGCAGUUAUAGGAUAAGUGUAGAUAAAAUAUUUAACACAUUUUGCAAAAUUACGCAUGCAUUAACUUGAAUGAAUGAGGCCCUUAUAUGUACAUUUGGACUGUAACAUUUAAUAAAUAAGGUUAAAACAUUAAAAAAUGUAAAAGG